AGAGGAAUGGAGGGGUUACUAAUGAGCUAAGGAACUUUUCACUUCCCUUCUAAGUUACCACCUCUUUCUUCUCUGGGUCCAAAAUGGACAAAAUCAGCCCUCUUGGCUUUCCUAAGGGCAUUAUACACAGAGGCAGAGGAUCAUCGCAAUCCAGCUACUGAAAUGUCCAGAACCAGAGAGUGGGAAUGCAGAUGAAAAGAUUCCUUUGGAACAAAAGGAAUGGACUGAAGGAGCACAGAAAGGGGGACUUCAGGCAGUAGGAAAGUUCUUGAUGGUGACUGGUCAGCAACCUGCCUGCCAGAGCAAGGGAGGAGAAGGAAGACACUCUGGGCUUGCUCUCACUUGAACCAUGGAACCCACCUUGCCUGAACCAAAUGGAGCCCUGCACCUUGUGUGGAAAACCAGACCUCUAGAUGCAGCUUUGCAGAGUGAAGAAGAGACAAUAAAGCCUCCUGAAUAGCUUUUCCUUUUGGCAGGCUGCCCAGAUAUAGCACUGAAAGGACAGGCUGUCCUUUGUGAGAUGAACACUGCCUCUUAGUGUUGCUGAGCUGGUCUAAUAGCAGGCAAAUCCAGGAUAUUCUGCUCAGACUAUUUCAGGGAAAAGCUGUAAUUUGUCAACCCAAGCUCUUGCCUCAGCAAAAUCUUCUAUCUACUCUACAAAAAGCAG